AGCAUGGACCCUCUUGCGAUCAGUAACAACUUGAAACAUCUGUCCCAGCAUUCCGCCUCGGCUCUCGCUUCUGUAACCGAGGCCAGCAACAAUGGAAAUAGUGUGAAAGAGCGGUUCUCUUCAAUAGAAACACAGCUGAACAGUGUAAGGAAGAUGGUUAUUGACGGGGGUAUGGGACCUCUUUCCUGUAGUUCUGACCAGAUAAAGUUCCAAGUUGAAGAAUUAAAGCUACAGAACACAAGAUUAGAAACGAAUAGUCUGGCUGCUUUUAACAGAAUGAAGGAAGCUUUAAAUAUGCGUCAUUGAAUAUUACAUGUUCUAGGGCAAGAGUGCCUUUGCAUAGGUAUUAUAACAAACAGUGUUCAUCAAUUAAUGUGAAAUGGUUGACGAGUUCGUGCAGUGGAAUCAAGAACAAAGAAUAAGAUUGCAUACACAGACUUAGGCGAUGAAUGCAAUAUUAUUGGGACAUUUCUUGUUCGUUUCACUGGGUUAUCAAUUAUAAUUAAUAUUUCCAUAUUGUAGAUAAAAUCCUUGACAAGUCAUCUUUAUCGUGUUUAAGCUCUAAUAGUGUUUAAGCUGUAAUAGUCCUCUAAAAGACCAUUCGCAUUCCUGACAUUGUUAUUAGACUGCUUCAAAAAUUGAAUUGUAAGUUUGAAAUUGAUCGCUUUAUUGAUAGCAGUUUCUUUAAGUCUUUAUUCUCUCUGUGUAACAUGUGCAUUUCUUUCAACAAACUGUUCGAAUU